GAUGACUUAAUAUUUGUUCUGUUCAUCGCAGCAGUAUUUAAAUGUCGUUGUACAGUAGGUUUUAGUAUGUGUACCCGUUUGAAUAAUCAGUUUAAUGGUGAGGGCGCCACAUGUUUGAUUCCCGCGUUUCAUAGCGUACCCUUUGUAUGUAAAGCCUGUUUUGCUUCGCGCGUUCACUACUGUCGGUGUCACCGCUAAUGUGUGUCCCAUCGAGCGUCGGCAUGCCAAAAUGUAAGUUAAUUUAGUUCUAACGUUCUACGGCAGUGUUAUUAUAACUUCAGAAAGCAUGUGUCAUAUUCAUAGUGUUGACGUAGAUGCAGAAUAGGUUUCUCACCUUGCCGAUCUGUAGCAUCAUGAUAGAAUGCUUUAUAGUCUCCACCAUAAUCUGAAGCAAGAUCAGAAACCAGGCGAAGUUACAGCUGCACAGGCCCCAUGGUUUUCUCAGACGGCAAAGCCUGUUUCCACC